GAAGCACUUGGGAGGCCCUGGGCUGCCCUAGGUGUUAGAGCGCCGCUCCUCAGGUGAUUCUCACCUGUGGAUGGGUGGAGAUCCCGGCGGGAGUAAAGAGCUCCUGGCUGAUCCCAACAACUUCGUGGCUUGGAAGGAGCCAGUGGUUUGGGGUGAAGCGCUAACCGGCCUGUGUCACUGUAGUGUCCAGUGAGGUGAAGGCUCAUUUCCGGCCCGAGGGGGCUGGGAUAGAGGGUUGGCGCCCCCAGCAACACCCCUCGAGCUGGGCCCUGCUGUGGCGAGAAUGGGCAGGGAGAGGAGGCUCUGGAGUGAGAAACGGGACGCACAGCAAACAAUUCAGAAUCAGCCACUUGUUGAGAAAAUUUGCUUUGUGCGCUACACCUGAAACUUUCCUCAGUUCAUUUGAUUCCCUGAGGACAGGCAGGGAAUGGAGUUGUUUUUCUUUCUAUUUUUGAGACAGGGUCUCACUGUGUACUCCAUGCUGGUCUUGAACUCACUAUGUAGCCCAGGCUAGUCUCAAACUAGCAGCGAUCCUCCCGCCUCAGCCUCCCGAGUGCUGGGUUUACAGGCGGGUGUCAUCAUGCCCGGCUGGAGUUGUUUUUCUGGCUUCACAGAUGUGGAAAUAAACAGAGCUAGUCAGUGUUAAUGUUCAGACCUGACCCAGGACUCCUCACUCCAAAUUAUGCUUAUUAGUAGCAUUUCCCCUCUGUACCAACUCGGAAGCAAACGCCCACCCUCCCUCUGACACCCUGCAUUCUGGGGCCAAGUCUGAUGUUCUUGGUUUCCUCCCCAGCACACACAACCUGAAGGUUGGUUCAAUAUGGAGGAGAGGCUGGUGUGCUGCUGCAGUCCUGGUCCUUUAUCUCUCAGGAGCCUAAUGGAAUGAAGUGGGAGUUUUUACAGGUGCUCAGCUGCACUGUUUCUGGACUGUUUAUUGCUCUUUGCUGUUAGCAGUGUCCCUCUUUGCACACCCGUGGCCUGGCUUUGCAUGCUUUCUUCUGAGGGACACACCAAGCUUCCAGCUGCCUCGCCCCGGACCCCCAGAGCUGAGGCUCCCUCUGCAGUUUGAACCAGCAGAAAUGGUUAUGUAGUCCAGCCUGGCCUUGAACUCUCUGUGUAACCCAGGCUGGCCUCAAACUCAAGGUCAUCCUCCUGCCACAGCCUCCCAAGUGCUGGGAUUACAGUGUGGAUGGGAGGAGCAGCAGAGUGUGUGGCCUCAUGAGAGAUGUGAGAGCUAGGGACACCCCAGUGCCUGGAGGUCGUGUGGAGUCACAUCUCGGGUGUCUCAGGAAAAAGCAAGUUUCUGAGCAUCUGCUCUGGGAUGGGCGUGGAGCUCGGGGCUUCUGAACCUUAGUUUCAUCCUUUCUGCACUCCUGUACGGUCCAGCACUCUGCGUGUGAGGAAACCAAGGCUCCGCAGGGGUAGGUGACUUACCUGCAUGCAGUACACUGUUUGUAGGAAGUGCACUUGGGAUUCGAACCCAGGCCAUUCUGGUGGCAAACUCACACAUUUCGUCUCACCACCCUUGGAGUCUUCUUCCAUCCUUGCUGCAGGGUGACUGUAGGGAGCCAGCCGGUGGAGGCUGAGGAGGACUUUUAGGUGGGCUUCACCUCCUCAGGUGACAAGGGCAGGUCACGGGCGUCUGGUGAGAUGGGGCUUCACUUCUUUGGGCAAAGGCUGUGGAAUGAAGCAGGGAGUUCUGGGAGGCACGGGGUCAGAGGGAAUGACCGGAGCUACAGAGAGUAACGGGGCCCUGCUCUUUGGCCCCAAAGCCCUUUGAGGGCUGGAGGUGGAGGGUUUGCUGUGAAGCUCGGAGGGAAGGAUGGGAGGGGC
rnacentral:lncRNA from 1 species